rnacentral:rRNA from 1 species
UACGUAGGGUGCAAGCGUUAAUCGGAAUUACUGGGCGUAAAGCGUGCGCAGGCGGUUGUGCAAGACCGAUGUGAAAUCCCCGGGCUCAACCUGGGAAUUGCAUUGGAGACUGCAAGGCUAGAAUCUGGCAGAGGGGGGUAGAAUUCCACGUGUAGCAGUGAAAUGCGUAGAGAUGUGGAGGAACACCGAUGGCGAAGGCAGCCCCCUGGGUCAAGAUUGACGCUCAUGCACGAAAGCGUGGGGAGCAAACAGG